AUAUUUUCAGAUCUAUGGCUA
rnacentral:siRNA from 1 species